AUUUUAUACUCGUAAGCAUGUAUCAGAUUAUUCAGAGGGCACCCUUAUUACUAUAUUUCAGAUUCAUUUGGAGGAGAGUCCCGGUGAUAUACUUGCAUUUUUGACUGGGCAAGAAGAGAUAGAAUCUAUUGAAAAUCUUGCUAAGGAUAAGAUUCAAAAGUUACCUGAAAGCAAGCGGAACUUGGUAAUUAUACCUAUAUAUUCA
rnacentral:misc_RNA from 1 species